GACGAACGCUGGCGGCGUGCUUAACACAUGCAAGUCGUACGGUAAGGCCCUUUCGGGGGUACCCGAGUGGCGAACGGGUGAGUAACACGUGCGUAACCUGCCCACAACUUUGGGAUAACGCUAGGAAACUGGUGCUAAUACUGGAUAUGUGCUCCUGCUGCAUGGUGGGGGUUGGAAAGCUCCGGCGGUUGUGGAUGGACUCGCGGCCUAUCAGCUUGUUGGUGGGGUAGUGGCCUACCAAGGCGGCGACGGGUAGCCGGCCUGAGAGGGUGACCGGCCACAUUGGGACUGAGAUACGGCCCAGACUCCUACGGGAGGCAGCAGGGGGGAAUAUUGCACAAUGGGCGCAAGCCUGAUGCAGCAACGCCGCGGGCGGGAUGACGGCCUUCGGGUUGGAAACCGCUUUCAGCAGGGACGAAGCUUUUUGUGACGGUACCUGCAGAAGAAGCACCGGCUAACUACGUG
rnacentral:rRNA from 1 species